CGUAGGGUGCGAGCGUUAAUCGGAAUUACUGGGCGUAAAGCGUGCGCAGGCGGUUUUGUAAGACAGAUGUGAAAUCCCCCGGGCUCAACCUGGGACCUGCAUUUGUGACUGCAAGGCUAGAGUACGGUAGAGGGGGAUGGAAUUCCGCGUGUAGCAGUGAAAUGCGUAGAUAUGCGGAGGAACACCGAUGGUGAAGGCAAUCCCCUGGACCUGUACUGACGCUCAUGCACGAAAGCGUGGGGAGCAAACAGGAUUAGAUACCCUGGUAGUCCACGCCCUAAACGAUGUCAACUGGUUGUUGGGUCUUUACUGACUCAGUAACGAAGCUAACGCGUGAAGUUGACCGCCUGGGGAGUACGGCCGCAAGGUUG
rnacentral:rRNA from 1 species